AUUUCAGCACUUGUUUUAAAAAAAAGAACCUUCCUCCCUCUCUUUUUUUCUCUCUGCAGAAGCCUUAGGCCGAUCAGAGCUCCAGCGAACCGUUGCCGCGACCACCGCCCUCGACCGCUGUGCGAAUUUGUUGGAGCUCGGAAAGAAGCCCCCUUUUUAGUCAAUCGGAGAAUAGAAUGAUUGAUGGCGGUGGAGCAAGUGGCUGACAGAGGAGUGCGGGGUGCCUGAACAUGCGGCUAGGGUUUCCUUUCUUUCUUUUUUUUUUUUGGCUAAAAAUGUUUAGGUUGUGGGCUUUUGGGCUACUAGAGUUUUUUAGGUUUUGGGCUAGUGUUUAAUUUUGGUUUGGGCUUGUAAUUUAUUGGGCUGUGUUUGUAAUUUAGACUUUGGAUUUAUUAUUAUUUUUGUUUUAUAUUUGUAAUUUGUCUUAAGCCCAGGCCAAAAUUAGCCUUUUACAAUGAAUGACACCAAUUCAAUCAAAA